CCUACGGGAGACAGCAGUGAGGAAUAUUGGUCAAUGGCCGGAAGGCUGAACCAGCCAAGCCGCGUGAAGGACGAAGGUGCCAAGCAUUGUAAACUUCUUUUGUCAAGGGACAAAAUCAGGCUCGAGAGCCUGACCGAGGGUACUUGAAGAAAAAGCAUCGGCUAACUCCGUGCCAGCAGCCGCGGUAAUACGGAGGGGGCAAGCGUUAUCCGGAUUUACUGGGUGUAAAGGGGGCGUAGACGGCAGGAUAAGUCUGAAGUGAAAUCCCGGGGCUUAACCCCGGAACUGCUUUUGAAACUGUGCGGCUAGAGUGCAGGAGGGGUAGGCGGAAUGCAUAGUGUAGCGGUGAAAUGCGUAGAUAUUAGGAGGAACACCGGUGGCGAAGGCGGCUUACUGGGCUAUAACUGACGUUGAGGCUCGAAAGCGUGGGGAGCAAACAGGAUUAGAUACCCGAGUAGUC
rnacentral:rRNA from 1 species